rnacentral:lncRNA from 1 species
AAAAGAAUUCUCAUCUCCCUUGUACAAUCGGAUGACUGGUUUUCAAGUGAGUGUGGGUGGUAAAACAUCUGGAGAUCAUCGAAACACAAAAUAUUGGUGUAUUUAAUUAUAUGACACAAAUCAGGACUAUUUAGUCCUAAUUUGAUUGACAAAACCAUCUUACAUGUAUGCAAAUAAAAAGUAGUAGAGAUAUCUACUCCCCAGUUCUCGCCUCAGUCUAUGCCCAAAGUAGGGUUACUUAAGCUCUUUAUUCACUGUAGUAGCCAGGAUUCUCCAGAGAAACAGAACCAAUAAGAGAGAGGUUUAUUUUAAGGAAUUGGUUCAUUUUUGUAGAGGCUGGCAAGUCCAAAAUCUGUAGGGCAGGCUUGAAGGCUGAAGACCCAGCAAAGAGUUGAUGUUGUGACUUCAGAGCCUGAAGGCAGUCUGCUGGCAGAAUUCUCUCUUCCUCAGGGGAUGUCAGACUUUUUCUUAAGGCCCUCAAGUGACUGGAUGAAGCCCACCCACAUUAUGGAGGGUGAUCUGCUUUACUCAAAAUCUGUUGAUUUAAGUGUUAAUCUCAUCUGAAAAAUUCCUUCAUAGCAACCAGACCAAGUUUAACCAAAUAUCUGGAUACCACGGCCUAGCCAAGUUGACACAAAAUUAACCAUCCCGCUCACCAACUUACAAACCACAGCAGCAAAUGGGAAACAGUUUCCCCUCCCUUUCCUGUCAGUUUUCCAGGAAUUUCCUAAGGCUAUGAAUGUCCAAGGUGAUGCUGGGUGUGCCGUAUUAGGGAAACACCAUUCCAUGUGAUGGCAGGACCAGUGGACAGCAUCUCUGAAGCACUGAGGGAGGAGGCCCAACUGGGACGGCUUACCUGGACCAGGCAGCCCUGGGACCCACAAGAAGGCUUUUCUACUAUUCGCCUUUUGUUCAAAAGUGACCCUGAAAGAUGAGUCAAAACUUCCAUACCUGCUUUCCAUAUGGAGAAGCUGGGCGCCCAGAAAGGUUAAACAGAUUUGCCACUUAUGCAACAAAGGAACUCUGGGUUCUCACGUGGUUGUGUAAGUCUAGUCAAAAUGGAAAUGAAACUUCUGCUUCCUUAUCUUUCCUGUUUGUUUAAAAUGAAGUCCUUUGCACUUAUCAGUUCCUAGGAGAUUGUUUUUCGCCACAUGUAAAUUUGAAAUCCCCUCUAAUCAGAACCAACUUUCUCCAGGACGCCCCAGUCAUGGAUUAUGAGGAGCCACUUCUUAGGCCUCUCUUUCCGGACACAAACACAGCGAUCUUCCAGCUGAGCAGAUCACUGUUGAGGAAUUUCAUCAGCACUGUUCAGGGGUUUAGAGAGUGGUCCCUUUAGUUGCUGGCUCUGGAGUAUAUUGUCUUUGAAACCCAUACAUUCAGGUUUUUUUCUUAGUAAAGCUGUUUGGACAUAUUUACCUUCAGAGUUUCCUUAUUUACUUUUAGGUUCCAAAAUGUUUUGAUCACC